GUUCCUUAUCUUCUCUCCGUCGCUAGCUUCAUCCUCUGCUCACCUCUGUCAAGCACGCGCGCUCGUCUAUCUUCCUGGUGCCCAGCCGCUUCAUCCUCCAGCGCCCCAACGGCUCUCCUUCUCCGAUGGUGGCCGCGGUGCCCUGUACUCCGGCUCGGCCAACCUCGCUAUGGAUCCGUUCCUGCACCUAUGCUCUAGUCGAUCUCCUCUGGUGUGCCCUAGCUCGCUCCGUCUCGCGACCCUCCCCAGCUCCCUCUGUUCGUCGGGCGAAGCUCCCUCUGCUCGUCCUGCGCGCGCUCGAAAUUUUCUUCUCCACCGCGCGGCUCUGCUCGCCGUCGCGCCCCUAUUCCUCCAUGGCCGCGAGCUCCCUCUGCUGUCUGUUUCGCCGCGCGCCAAGCUCCCAGCCGAAGUCUCCUUCCUGCCGUGCUCCAGCCAUGGCACAUCUCUGUUCGUUCUCCAGCUCCCUAUGCAUCACAGAGCUCCCUUGCCGCACCCUUGCUUUUCCCUCGCAGGCUGCGCGCCCCUGGCCGGAGCUCCCCUCUACUCGGCCCCUGUCGGCCUGCUCCUCUGCCCUUGCUGCUUCCAGCCACGCCGUGCUUCAUCUGCUCGCCCCGGUGCCACGCGUAGCUUCUUUCUCCAUGGCCGGUGCUCGCCCCUGCGCUCGGAUUCAGUCCUGCGCGUGCGUCCCUCUGCCUCUACGCUCGGAACUCCAUCUGCGCGCGUCAUCCACUGCUCCCUGGUGCCGCGUGCGUGCCCUGGCUCGGCACCCAGCCGUUCUUCCCUGUGCGUGCGAGUCUCCCUGCGCGCAGCUCGCCUCAGCUCCCUGUUCGUCCACGGCGUGCCCCGUUUCCUUUGUCUUGUCGUCGUCGUUCAGUCGCCUCGCCCUCGCGUUCAUUAUAGAUGUCGUGACGUCGGUCGUCAAGAUCUGCUCAGCCGUCGUUCUCUAUUGUGCUAGCUAUCCAUCGCGACAUCCCAAAUCUGUCACGCCAUACUCGAAUCUCGCCAAUCGCAUCUUGGCCGGUCAUCGAUUUCUUAUACGCCAUGGUGCAACACCGUUGUUAAACCCGGUCUCCACCCCGCCAUGGCGUUCAUCGUCCUCUAGUCCUAGUUCGACCCAUCCGUGUGUUCGCUCCUCAUCCAUCGGGUUUCGCGCGUGCUCGCGUUUGCCAUCGAGUCAUCGAACCCAUCAUCCCCUGCUCAGCCCCACCUCACCAGCUCGCUCCAGACAUAAUCUUGUCGUCCUUCCGCGAGUCAUCAAGAAAUCCCAAGAAUCAGGUGAAGACGAAGCCCACAGUGUGGUGUUCACCAAGUGCGCGAACAAGUCGUCGAGCGUCAUCCUCGUCUACGCCAAGUCCCCAAGCCGUGAAAACACUCUGGUGUUGGCCACGCGUCACCAGCUCGACAAAAUAAAUCCCAUGGGUAUCUGAUCGAGAAGUGAAGUUGUGUACAUCACUCGCCAGACAUGUGUGAUCAAAGACGUCAACCGGAAACCAUCGUCGUGCUUGCGACUAUCACGUCAAAUUAGUCAAGGUAAGUUGAUCCGUAUUCCUGUUAACUAGGUCUAUAAAUAGAGUAAAUAGAAUUAUUGGUCUCAAUAAAUGUUAUUAAUUUAGCAUGCGUAUAUUGUGAUGAUCGAUUUAGAUAAAUCAGUAAAUCAAGUAAUUAAGAUACAUAGUUUAAAGAGUUAAUAAAAAGGUAGGAAUAAAAAUAGAUGUUUUAGUGUUAUUAUAUCAAUUUGGUUAAUGGAUGCAGUCGAUGCCCUGCUGUGAUAUCCAUAAUGCUUACUGCUUGGUUUUAAGUGUUUUGUCCUUUUUAGCGUAGAUUAUUUGUCUCGUACUAUGUAUACUCGUGCUCAUACAUGUGCAUCGUGCAUCUCAUGAGGUACGGUAAAUAAUCACGUGAUGCGGAAGACGAGCCAAGUCGACCCCAAGCGCGGGCUAACCCACAGGAUGAUGCUGAUGGACAAACCUGAAGAUAAUCGUCAAGCGGACGUCGUCUAACAACACUAACCUAGUGUUAUUCAGGUUAUAGCUUUGUACUGCUGAUGAUGGUGUUAAGUGCCGGUGGGCUCGGCCUUCUUAUAAGUCUAAGUACUUCUUCUAUACUUCUUAUUGAGGAUGGUCAUUUGAGCUAGCAUAUAUUUCAAACUUAUACUUUUGUAAUCACUCUGAUAAAUAUAAUGUAAAAUAUUUGUAACUUGUAAAAUUUAGUAAUAAGAUUUCCGCUGCAAAAAUGUUAGUGUGUGUGAUUUGUAUUACUUAAUCCCGCGGUUCUGGUUGUAAAUGGUUUAUCCGAUGUCCUCGGGGCAAUCAGACAGAUCCUGUUAAGUUAUGUGGUGCACAUGCAUAGCCGUCUAAGGUCUUUGGAACAAGGACAGGUCCAUGUGGGCCCAAUAUCUUGGAGGUUCUACCACAGGCUAGUAUCGGAGCAGGAUUAAGUAUAUACGGUGACAUACGUAUUUUCAAAACAAAAGUUUUGGUUUUGAAAAACCUAUUUUCAACUAAACACAUUGUUUGGCUUUGAAAAACUAUAAUGCUAGCGACAUCCUCUAUUAAGCCCUAAGUUAAGGACUAUCAGGUGGCUUAGUUGAAAACCACUAACCCACAACCGGGGGUAUUGCAUACAUGUGUAUUGUUAUUUUUGAGGCCAUUUAGUUUUGAAUGGAUCGACGCUCAAGGUAAGGUGAGAUGUGAGAGCAUGACCGAACAAACUUCGGUCUAGGGAAGAGUAUAAAAAGCG
rnacentral:misc_RNA from 1 species